UACGUAGGGGGCAAGCGUUGUCCGGAAUCAUUGGGCGUAAAGAGCGUGUAGGCGGCUCGGUAAGUCCGCUGUGAAAGUCCAGGGCUCAACCCUGGAAUGCCGGUGGAAACUGUCGAGCUAGAGUCCGGAAGAGGCGAGUGGAAUUCCUGGUGUAGCGGUGAAAUGCGCAGAUAUCAGGAGGAACACCAAUGGCGAAGGCAGCUCGCUGGGACGGUACUGACGCUGAGACGCGGAAGCGUGGGGAGCAAACAGG
rnacentral:rRNA from 1 species